ACAGUGUACUAGGGACAAUACAGAAAACAUUGUCCCUGCUCUUGAGGAGCUUACAUUCUAAAAGAAAAAAUACACCUCUUUUAAAAUGGCAUUUUUGUUUGGUGUUUUCUGCAAAGUACUGAGGAAAUACUUUGUAAAGUGAGCUUUGGGUAUAACUUAGCCCCAUCAUUAUUUAGAGAAUAGAGGAAGAAGAAAGAGGGAGGAUUUUAAAGGCAGACAAUGACAGACCAUUCAGGAUAGGUAGGUAAAUAGGAUGAGGGAAAUAGUCUGUGGGAUGCAAGCAAAGGAAGCAGGGUGCCUU
rnacentral:lncRNA from 10 species